CCUGUGCAGGCUCCUCAGCCUCAUCUUCUCCUGCCAACAGCCACAUGUCUUGCUUGGCCUGCUGGAAUCCAAGGGCAUGCCCCUGUCAACACUUUGUGCUGCUGCUUUGUGUUACAAGCUCAGUCUGCACUGCUAAAUGUAGUGCUAAAACCUACAGAAAAGAGAAAGAGAACAAAAUUCAAGAAAUGGACACAUAUGGAUGAAGCUGUGGACUUAAGUGACCAGAACUAGGAGUACAGCUCAUAAAAGAUUCCUCCCAUCAAACUGAAAAUUCAACUCCCUUCAAUUACCAACCCUCCGUUCUCCACACCUCCUAUUCUCCAAAUCCUCUAGACAGGGACUCUUACUGGCCUGGACAUCACCAAGUAUGCAGAAAACGACAAGGUUCUUCCUGUUUCAUCCUCCCCAAUUGUG